rnacentral:rRNA from 1 species
UGUGACAUACCAUUCUGUUGCCUCGGCGGAUCACCGCGCCCCGUAAAACGGGACGGCCCGCCAGAGGACCCAAACCCUAUGUCUUUAUGUGUAUCUUCUGAGUAACACUAUAAAUAAAUCAAAACUUUCAACAACGGAUCUCUUGGUUCUGGCAUCGAUGAGAACGCAGCGAAAUGCGAUAAGUAAUGUGAAUUGCAGAAUUCAGUGAAUCAUCGAAUCUUUGAACGCACAUUGCGCCCGCCAGUAUUCUGGCGGGCAUGCCUGUUCGAGCGUCAUUUCAACCCUCAAGCCCCCGGGUUUGGUGUUGGGGAUCGGCACAACGGCCUCGCCAGAGGACGCGCCGGCCCCUAAAUCUAGUGGCGGUCUCGCUGCAGCCUCCAUUGCGUAGUAGCUAACACCUCGCAACUGGAACGCGGCGCGGCCAAGCCGUUAAACCCCCAACUUUUUCUGAAUGUUGACCUCGGAUCAGGUAGGAAUACCCGCUGAACUUAAGCAUAUCAAUAAGCGGAGGAA